GUUGGGGUGAGACGCGGGUAUAAGCUGUGAACGGCAGUGAACCCAGUGUACACCGGACUAGACAACGCGAUUCCAUGGAUUGACACAAGCUAGCGACACGGGGACGGUCGGACCUCUUGCUCGGCGUGUUACUCUAUGACUGAAGUUCUGAAAACCACAUUGAGUCACAUUCUACUGCCCUGAUCAAUAUAAAACUGGCAGAGUGAAGGGAAGGAGAGCAGAGAAGAGUGGAGGGAGAGGGAAGAAACCCUGCAACAACCAUAUAGUCCCUGAGUACCAACCAUCAGUCUCAUCUCAAACACACACUUGUGCAUCCCCAUCUGACCCGUAAGCAUCUCAACCAUCCCCAUGGCGCUCACUCAGCUGGAGUCCUGACUGCUCCCACACAGAGUGCUUCACUCUGUCCUGAUGGGAGAACCCAGCCACCUAUCUGGUGUAGUGCACACAAUUUGAGAUGACAGGUUGAGUUGCUUACCUACCCUCAGUGCCUGCUUAUACAAGGAAACAGGACCAACAAACAUCUGAGAUGGUCCUAUGCCUCACAUGUUGGGAUUGAUGGGCUUUGAGCCAGAGUCACUGGAGAACUUAUGCUGCUGAUUAAGAAAAAUAAAACGUUAUGUGCAUGAAUACGGU